UACGUAGGCAGCAAGCGUUGUUCGGAGUUACUGGGCGUAAAGAGUGUGUAGGUGGUCCUCUAAGUUUGGUGUGAAAUCUCCCGGCUCAACUGGGAGGGUGCGCCGAAAACUGGGGGGCUUGAGUGUGGGAGAGGAAAGCGGAAUUCCUGGUGUAGCGGUGAAAUGCGUAGAUAUCAGGAGGAACACCUGCGGUGUAGACGGCUUUCUGGACCACUACUGACACUGAGACACGAAAGCGUGGGUAGCAAACAG
rnacentral:rRNA from 1 species